rnacentral:rRNA from 1 species
GUCGAACGGUAAGGCCCUUUCGGGGGUACACGAGUGGCGAACGGGUGAGUAACACGUGGGUAAUCUGCCCUGCACUUCGGGAUAAGCCUGGGAAACCGGGUCUAAUACCGGAUAUGAGCUCCUGCCGCAUGGUGGGGGUUGGAAAGUUUUUCGGUGCAGGAUGAGUCCGCGGCCUAUCAGCUUGUUGGUGGGGUAAUGGCCUACCAAGGCGACGACGGGUAGCCGGCCUGAGAGGGUGAUCGGCCACACUGGGACUGAGACACGGCCCAGACUCCUACGGGAGGCAGCAGUGGGGAAUAUUGCACAAUGGGCGAAAGCCUGAUGCAGCGACGCCGCGUGGGGGAUGACGGUCUUCGGAUUGUAAACUCCUUUCAGUAGGGACGAAGCGAAAGUGACGGUACCUGCAGAAGAAGCACCGGCCAACUACGUGCCAGCAGCCGCGGUAAUACGUAGGGUGCAAGCGUUGUCCGGAAUUACUGGGCGUAAAGAGCUCGUAGGCGGUUUGUCACGUCGUCUGUGAAAUCCUCCAGCUCAACUGGGGGCGUGCAGGCGAUACGGGCAGACUUGAGUACUACAGGGGAGACUGGAAUUCCUGGUGUAGCGGUGAAAUGCGCAGAUAUCAGGAGGAACACCGGUGGCGAAGGCGGGUCUCUGGGUAGUAACUGACGCUGAGGAGCGAAAGCAUGGGGAGCAAACAGGAUUAGAUACCCUG